GGAAGGGGAGUGAAAUAGAACCUGAAACCGUGUGCUUACAAGUAGUCAGAGCCCGUUAAUGGGUGAUGGCGUGCCUUUUGUAGAAUGAACCGGCGAGUUACGAUUUGAUGCAAGGUUAAGCAGUAAAUGUGGAGCCGUAGCGAAAGCGAGUCUGAAUAGGGCGUUUAGUAUUUGGUCGUAGACCCGAAACCAGGUGAUCUACCCUUGGUCAGGUUGAAGUUCAGGUAACACUGAAUGGAGGACCGAACCGACUUACGUUGAAAAGUGAGCGGAUGAACUGAGGGUAGCGGAGAAAUUCCAAUCGAACCUGGAGAUAGCUGGUUCUCUCCGAAAUAGCUUUAGGGCUAGCCUCAAGUGAUGAUUAUUGGAGGUAGAGCACUGUUUGGACGAGGGGCCCCUCUCGGGUUACCGAAUUCAGACAAACUCCGAAUGCCAAUUAAUUUAACUUGGGAGUCAGAACAUGGGUGAUAAGGUCCGUGUUCGAAAGGGAAACAGCCCAGACCACCAGCUAAGGUCCCAAAAUAUAUGUUAAGUGGAAAAGGAUGUGGCGUUGCCCAGACAACUAGGAUGUUGGCUUAGAAGCAGCCAUCAUUUAAAGAGUGCGUAAUAGCUCACUAGUCGAGUGACACUGCGCCGAAAAUGUACCGGGGCUAAACAUAUUACCGAAGCUGUGGAUUGUCCUUUGGACAAUGGUAGGAGAGCGUUCUAAGGGCGUUGAAGCAUGAUCGUAAGGACAUGUGGAGCGCUUAGAAGUGAGAAUGCCGGUGUGAGUAGCGAAAGACGGGUGAGAAUCCCGUCCACCGAUUGACUAAGGUUUCCAGAGGAAGGCUCGUCCGCUCUGGGUUAGUCGGGUCCUAAGCUGAGGCCGACAGGCGUAGGCGAUGGAUAACAGGUUGAUAUUCCUGUACCACCUAUAAUCGUUUUAAUCGAUGGGGGGACGCAGUAGGAUAGGCGAAGCGUGCGAUUGGAUUGCACGUCUAAGCAGUAAGGCUGAGUAUUAGGCAAAUCCGGUACUCGUUAAGGCUGAGCUGUGAUGGGGAGAAGACAUUGUGUCUUCGAGUCGUUGAUUUCACACUGCCGAGAAAAGCCUCUAGAUAGAAAAUAGGUGCCCGUACCGCAAACCGACACAGGUAGUCAAGAUGAGAAUUCUAAGGUGAGCGAGCGAACUCUCGUUAAGGAACUCGGCAAAAUGACCCCGUAACUUCGGGAGAAGGGGUGCUCUUUAGGGUUAACGCCCAGAAGAGCCGCAGUGAAUAGGCCCAAGCGACUGUUUAUCAAAAACACAGGUCUCUGCUAAACCGUAAGGUGAUGUAUAGGGGCUGACGCCUGCCCGGUGCUGGAAGGUUAAGAGGAGUGGUUAGCUUCUGCGAAGCUACGAAUCGAAGCCCCAGUAAACGGCGGCCGUAACUAUAACGGUCCUAAGGUAGCGAAAUUCCUUGUCGGGUAAGUUCCGACCCGCACGAAAGGCGUAACGAUUUGGGCACUGUCUCAACGAGAGACUCGGUGAAAUCAUAGUACCUGUGAAGAUGCAGGUUACCCGCGACAGGACGGAAAGACCCCGUGGAGCUUUACUGUAGCCUGAUAUUGAAAUUCGGCACAGCUUGUACAGGAUAGGUAGGAGCCUUUGAAACGUGAGCGCUAGCUUACGUGGAGGCGCUGGUGGG
rnacentral:rRNA from 1 species